rnacentral:tRNA from 1 species
GCGGAAAUGGUGAAAUUGGUAAAUGCGCUAAAUUUAGGUUCAGCUAUUCCUCAAGGUCAGCGUAGGUGUGAGCGUUCAAGUCUCUCUUUCCGCACCA